AACGAACGCUGGCGGCAGGCUUAACACAUGCAAGUCGAACGGUCUCUUCGGAGGCAGUGGCAGACGGGUGAGUAAUGCAUGGGAAUCUACCGUUCUCUACGGAAUAACUCAGGGAAACUUGUGCUAAUACCGUAUACGCCCUUUUGGGGAAGGAUUUAUCGGAGAAUGAUGAGCCCAUGUUGGAUUAGCUAGCUGGCAGGGUAAAGGCCUACCAAGGCGACGAUCCAUAGCUGGUCUGAGAGGAUGAUCAGCCACACUGGGACUGAGACACGGCCCAGACUCCUACGGGAGGCAGCAGUGGGGAAUAUUGGACAAUGGGCGCAAGCCUGAUCCAGCCAUGCCGCGUGAGUGAUGAAGGCCCUAGGGUUGUAAAGCUCUUUCACCGGUGAAGAUAAUGACGGUAACCGGAGAAGAAGCCCCGGCUAACUUCGUGCCAGCCGCCGCCGUAA
rnacentral:rRNA from 1 species